rnacentral:rRNA from 1 species
GGUCAAGCUAAAAAGAGCGCAGGGUGGAUGCCUUGGCACUAAGAGCCGAUGAAAGACGUGAUAAGCUGCGAUAAGCUACGGGGAGGAGCACAUAUCCAUUGAUCCGUAGAUUUCUGAAUGGGGAAACCCGGCUGAGCAUACCUCAGUCACCGUACACUGAAUCCAUAGGUGUACGGAGGGAACCCGGUGAACUGAAACAUCUAAGUAGCCGGAGGAAGAGAAAGAAAACUCGAUUUUCAAAGUAGCGGCGAGCGAAAUGGAAAGAGCCCAAACCGGAGUGCGUGCACUCCGGGGUUCGGACUGCAUUUAUGACUUCUGACUGUAGCGGAACGGUUCUGGAAAGACCGGCCAGAGAGGGUGAGAGCCCCGUAGGCGAAACGGAAGGAAGCAGAGCAGGAUCCAGAGUACCACGAGACACGAGAAACCUUGUGGGAAUGAGCGGGGACCACCCCGUAAGGCUAAAUACUCCUUAGUGACCGAUAGAGCAGAGUACUGUGAAGGAAAGGUGAAAAGGACCCCGGGAGGGGAGUGAAAGAGAACCUGAAACCCUGUGUUUACAAACUGUGGAAGUACCAUACGAGUACAACCGCGUACUUUUUGUAGAACGGUCCGGCGAGUUACGUUUACUGGCGAGGUUAAGCACUUAAGGUGCGGAGCCGAAGGGAUACCAAGUCUUAACAGGGCGUUAAGUCAGUGUACGUAGACCCGAAACCGGGUGAUCUACCCAUGUCCAGGCUGAAGUUGCCGUAAAAGGCAAUGGAGGGCCGAACGCAC